UACGGAGGGUGCAAGCGUUAUCCGGAUUCACUGGGUUUAAAGGGUGCGUAGGUGGGCAGGUAAGUCAGUGGUGAAAUCUCCGAGCUUAACCCGGAAACUGCCAUUGAUACUAUAGGUCUUGAAUUAUCUGGAGGUGAGCGGAAUAUGUCAUGUAGCGGUGAAAUGCUUAGAUAUGACAUAGAACACCAAUUGCGAAGGCAGCUCACUACGGAUAUAUUGACACUGAGGCACGAAAGCGUGGGGAUCAAACAGG
rnacentral:rRNA from 1 species